GCGCGUAAAUUACCCAAUCCUGAAUUAGGGAGGUAGUGACAAGAUAUAUCAACGCUUUUUUAUAAGCGAUUGAAGUGAAAGUUUUCUAAACCGAUCUCAGAGUACUAUUGGAGGGCAAGUCUGGUGCCAGCAGCCGCGGUAAUUCCAGCUCCAAUAGCAUAUAUUAAAGUUGUUGCAGUUAAAAAGCUCGUAGUUGGAUUAAUGGUAGUUACGGCAAAUUUUGUCGUGCUGCCACCAGUCACUGACUGUUACUGUGAGAAAAUUAGAGUGUUUCAAGCAGGCUCAUGCAGGAAUACAUUAGCAUGGAAUAACGAAUAAGUCUAGAUUCUUGGUUAAAUCUGGAACUUGAUUAAUAGGGACAGUUGGGGGCAUUAGUAUUUGACAGCUAGAGGUGAAAUUCUUUGAUUUGUCAAAGACUAACUUAUGCGAAAGCAUUUGUCAAGGAUGUUUUCAUUAAUCAGCGGGCUAAAGAUAGGGGAUCAAAGACGAUCAGAUACCGUCGUAGUCCUAUCCAUAACUAUACCGACUCGGGAUUGGCACUCACUCGCGGAGUGUCAGUACCGUAUGAGAAAUCAUUAAGUCUUUGGGUUCUGGGGGGAGUAUGGUCGCAAGUCUGAAACUUAAAGAAAUUGACGGAAGGGCACCACCAGGAGUGGAGCCUGCGGCUUAAUUUGACUCAACACGGGGAAACUUACCAGGUUAAGACGUGAGAAGGAUUGACAGAUUGAUAGCUCUUUCUUGAUUUCAUGGGUGGUGGUGCAUGGCUGUUCUUAGUUGGUGGAGUGAUUUGUCUGGUUAAUUCCGAUAACGAACGAGACCUUAAUCUGCUAACUAGUCAGGCGCAUUUUAUGCGUCUUGACUUCUUAGAGAGACUAUAUGCGCAAUCAUAUGGAAGUUUGAGGCAAUAACAAGUCUGUGAUGCCCUUAUAUAUCCUGGGCUGCACGCGUGCUACACUGAUGCAUACAACAAGCUCCGAGCCCGAAAGGGCGAGGUAAUCUCUAAUAUGCAUCGUGAU
rnacentral:rRNA from 1 species